UAGCAGAGGAGUGCGAGGGGCAGCCAGGCGGGCAAGCUGUCCACAGUACUGUGCAGUCAUCACUUCUUGCUUCAGACAUGAUUGGGGAAGUUUGGUAGGACACAUGGGGUUGCAGACUGUCCAAGAAUGCUAAAGAGUUCAACAGUGAGCACUGCUCCGCAUAGAACCCGAGGCUGAAGUCCGCAAACAUGGAGGACUCAGUGUAAUUUCCAAGUGCAACCUAACCACACAACAGUUCAGCCUGAGAUUUGGGUGUAGUAUGCUAGUAGCGACUAAUGCAGCCUUGAGCCUCAAGCAGACAUGAGGAGCAGCUACACAUGUCUGCGUAUGUUGUGAUUGUUCAGUCAUCUCCAGCGUGGAGCCUCAGCUGCCUGCGGUUGCUGUGUGCCUGUGUUUCUGCAGCAGCCUCCACACGUGAUUAAUCAUGUGAAGUGGUAAAAAGCACAACACUGUCAAGACUGUGAGGGGGACCUAAUGGAGUUGAAAAUGGGAUGUUUUGUCGUGAUGCAAUCCAUUUUGUUCCACCUUCGCCCGCUUGCUUGCUUGCUUUCACCAUGCACUCAAACAGCAAAUUCUUCUUCUUCUUCUUGUGCCAGGUACCAAAAGUGAAAGCUGUGUCUAUUUUCAGCAAAGGUCCAGACAGAAACAACACUGCUGAGAAGUUUUGGUUGUUAUAAAGAUGAGUCCCUGAAUUUGGUCCGCUCCGUCAGUUAUGCGCGUUUGAGCAGCGCUCCUCAGCUCUUUUAUACAAGGCUGUAUAUUGGCCUCAGCACAGUUCACUGGAGACUGGGGGAUGAAAAUCGUUUUCAUUUUCCACUUUUAAGACUAAUCCACUGAUUCCAGGGUAGAAAAUCAAGUAAAAUGCAUGUCCAGCGUGAACUCAAUUUAUUUUGUGCUGUUUGCUGCGUCUGUUAGACCUAAACUGACCUGCUGCUCAGCCUCUCACUCUGUUACCCCUUCUGCAGCUGAGGGUUCAACAUGAAACCUAAUCAGCUGUAUGACGCCAGACUGGGGCUGAAUGUGAUAAAAUGCCAACAGCGGAGCAGAUUAAAUGAACAAGGUAAUGAAGGUAAUGAAUGAGAGUGUUACACACUGAAGAGUUUAAUUAACCUCGCCUCCCACCAGCCUCUCUCCACUGUAACACCUUUGUCACUGUAUCGCAGCCCUCAGCUGUGUCGACCGCCCUGGGCAAUUUAUGUGGCCUUGUGUGCCAGUGGCAAUUAAUCCCCCCUCUUGCCCCAAGGCCUUAUCCUGCGUCUGUGUCCUUUAUCUCCAUGUUUGCCACGCAUCCAUAAGCACAAUACUUUACUUGACCUACUCUCCAUCUCUUCCUUCCCCUCCUCCUCCACUCCCUUUCUCUUCCUCUCUCCCUCAUUUCUACAUUUCCCCCCUCUCAGAUGCAGACACCUGCGACCACACACAGUGAACGCUUCCUCACCGUCAGCAGUCCCUGGCAGCUUAAUAUGCACACACAUCCACUCUUGAACAGAUAGUCUUGUCAGAUUGAAAUGAGGCAGAAGUAUUCAUACAUAAACAUACACACUCACCCAUAUUCAUGAGGACCUCCCACGGCCUUGGCUUUACUUCUCUCCUCUCCCGUUGUUCAGCUCGGUCGAACAAACCCGCUCUCAUUGUUCAAAUAUUGACCGCGAUCGCUGGCCACAAUCUGACAACUUUAAUACACCUCAGCUGUCUCUCUUUCCCAUUCCUGUCUCUCCUCCCCCGCCAUCCACACACACACCAUCCUGCCACACCAGUGCUACAUCUUGUUAAAAAGAGUUAGUGAAGCUGAAAGGCCAAUCACAUUAACAGGGAGGGAGUGUCAAAAAAGACUGCAGAGAAUAUGGUGGAAGGGUCAAAUCAAAUGGACACUUCUCAGAUUUUAAUUGCAAAUGCCUAAUUGCUACCAUAAUUAUGAGUAAUAAGACUGUCCCGCGCAGAUCUUGAAUGGAUCACACAACAAUUAACUCACCAGUGCCGCUGCUGGAUUUGACGGCGGGAAAUGUCUUCGUAGAUUAGCGUUUAAUCCCGAUGCCCAGGAUCUCAGAAGUCUUUUGAAGAUGUGCUACUGAAUGUCCUUCUCCGCAGCUGGCGUGGAAGGCCUCGCCUUGGGUGAUGGGCUUCAGCCAUUUUAUACUGGAGAGCACCCGGCUCUAAUCAGUCAUGGUGGAAGAGAGGGGAUUUAUCCAGCAGUUCGGACUCGAGGAUGAUUAGAUGCUCAGAUGCAGUGAGCGGGGUUAGCGAUUUGGCCAGGGCAUGAAUGUUACUGUUCCAGUUCUCUCUCUCUCUCUCUGAUAAAUGUCAUGUGAAGUUGGAGGGGCCAACCUUGAAACUUGCUUUCAUGGCAUGCCAGCCCUCUGCCACUUUUAAAGACCGUGAUUGCAAUUACCAACACGGUUCAAUCGCGGUAAUUACUGCAGUUAAACUAUUAAAUAGCCUGAGGCCAAAAUAAAACUUGCUCACACUCUCAUCUGAGAUGCCUGGACUCUUGUGGAACAGUUUAAUUAAAUGAUUACCUGUCUCUGGUGUAUACUUAAUUGUGUACAGAGCUCAGGGCAAAGUGUUUGCUAUCUCCAAGUGGGUCGUGUCUCUAGUCCUCAGGCCAGUCUUUCUCUUAUUUGCCCUAUUUUUUUUCUCCAUGUUUGUUCAAGCUCUUUUUAGCAGCGAAGGACUGCCUUGUCAGGGAGGACAUGCGAAGUCUUUGCCUCUGUCUAUCUUUAGAACAGUCGCUCCUCUGUAUGCAUAAUGUCUCGCACGUUUUUGAAGCAUCGGGCAUUAUCUCUGGCUGGUCAGGGAGUCCCUUUCACGGCAUUGUGUGGCUUGAAAGGGCCAUCUGAGUCAUUGGGAGAGAUCAUUUUCCGACACGGGCUAAACAGAAGGGAAAGGAACGGGAGCCGAAUGUGUGAGGCAGAGCCCGAGGGUUUGCUUUGACUCAUACCCAACAUCACAGCCUUUAUACUAAUCCAUAUUUAAUUAGACUUUCUUUCAGUGCGCCCUCCCUGCUUGUUUACCCUUGCUGUGUUGUUUUAUGGGAUGAGGAGGGAGGGAAGGGCAUGGGUAGAAGGUAGUGAAGAUGACAUGGGAUUACUAUUAAUAAGCACAGGAGGGAAGGUAGAGCCUAGUGAGGGCUCUGGGGACCUAGCUGUGUUUCAUUUCAUUAAUAGGAUAUUGUAAUUCAAAAAACACCCAUCAGCUCUGGAACAAUAACCUGCCUCGACUCAUGUGAUGUGUUGAAAUUUCAAUCGGUUUGUUAUUAUGUUAGCAGAUUCACAGAAACGCUGGUGAGUAAUAAGUUAUGUUUUAGACACUAAUGAAGGGAUGGAGUUCUGUAGAUGGAGUGGCUGAUUAGCAUUCAUCAGGUGCUUUUGAAGCCUUUAGUGGAAAUGAUGUUCACAGAACUUUCUGCUCCGUUAAGUUCAAAUAAAUGUCUUCCCCGUCUUGUCAUUGGAGAAUGUCUCAGGAUGACUGACUUUUCAUCAGAUCCAUUAUUAGAUUCUGAAAGCUUUGCUCUGCUCUGUCGUGGAGCAAUAGAAGCUUGCAAGUCCAUUAAACUGUAUAAAAAAAACUAUUUUCCCUUCCCCUCAUUUCUGAAAUGAACAUUUCAAUCAGUGUGUUGCCUUUGGGAAGGAUGGCGGGUGAAGGUCAGUAUAAAUUUCAGCAGGAAUAAUUAGAUUCUUUAUUAGUCUUUGCCACUGAAUUCCGCUCCAAAGAGGAAUGGUGCAAAGGAGCAGCGUUGGCCGGGUGUUGACUUAAUGUCACCCAUCCAUUUUGCUUUCGCUCUGGUUGGCCUCGCAGGAGCUGGAAAAUGGGAGGCUCAUUCAUCACUGGUUUUCUCUGGCUCCGGGCACCAACAUGUAUUCAGUCAUAGCUCGAGUGACAUGCACAGACACACACACUCUGGAACAACAGAGGGUUGCACACACACACACAGAUGCAUCUCAGUGUGAAUAUAACAAGAAUAACUAGUAUGAAGUGUAAAAAUGUCUCAAGAUGUUAUGGCACAAAAACACUCAGACCUGUCACAUGUAUUAACCGCCACACUCCCAUUCCCUGAACCAUUCGUGUGUGCAGAUAUAGUCAGACCUCUGACGCUGUGUGAUUGAUUGACUGACAGCAGCCCAGGCAUCUGUAUGCUGGCAGCACAGUGUGACACGAGUGACGUUCAGCUGAAUGUUUGCGAGCUCUCACUUCUCAUACAUUUUGAAGCGAUCCUCCAUCAUUUUCCCAUGUUUAUUUCCCUCUUAUCC